CGAGCGCCGAUAGUUUAGUGGUAGAAUUGAAGCUUCCCAUGAUAUAAAUCAAAAGAUUGCUUCAGGCACGGGUUCGAUUCCCGUUCGGCGCAU